rnacentral:snRNA from 1 species
GUGCUCACUUCCGCAGCACAUAUACUAAAAUUAGAAUGAUACAGAGAAGAUUAGUAUGGCCACUGCAUGAGGAUGACAUGCAAAUUUGUGAAGCGUUCCAUAUUUUA